rnacentral:lncRNA from 1 species
AUAACAGGCCAAAAAAUGAGGAAUCAUUUUUAUCCUUUGAAUCCUGUUUGCUUUCAAAAUCAAUUGGAAGUAAAAGGACAGCUAAUUACAGAUAUAGAACAAUUAUGUCUCAGCUCAUCAGGAGGCAAAGGAAACAAAAAAAUGAAAGACUGCUCAAGGUGAGCAACGAGAAACAGGACAACUAUCAACUCUGGCAAACAACAGAUGUGCUAGAUCCAAUACCAAAGAGUCAAGCUACAGGUAGAGAGAGACCCAUCGCCCAGGAAAAAGAGCCGUGGGAAGAG